rnacentral:rRNA from 1 species
UACGUAGGUGGCGAGCGUUAUCCGGAUUUACUGGGCGUAAAGUGAGCGCAGACGGUUUUUCAAGUCAGAUGUAAAAUCUCUCGGCUUAACCGGGUGGGCGCAUUUGAUACUGUUAAACUAGAGGACAACAAGGGGAGGUAGAAUUCCCGGUGUAGUGGUGGAAUGCGUAGAUAUCGGGAGGAAUACCAGUGGCGAAGGCGGCCUCCUGGGUUGUUUCUAACGUUCAUGCUCGAAGGUGUGGGGAG